GACGAACGCUGGCGGCGUGCUUAACACAUGCAAGUCGAACGGAAAGGCCCUGCUUUUGUGGGGUGCUCGAGUGGCGAACGGGUGAGUAACACGUGAGUAACCUGCCCUUGACUUUGGGAUAACUUCAGGUAACUGGGGCUACUACCGGAUAGGAGCUCCUGCUGCAUGGUGGGGGUUGGAAAGUUUCGGCGGUUGGGGAUGGACUCGCGGCUUAUCAGCUUGUUGGUGGGGUAGUGGCUUACCAAGGCUUUGACGGGUAGCCGGCCUGAGAGGGUGACCGGCGACAUGGGGACUGAGGUACGGCCCAGACUCCUACGGGAGGCAGCAGGGGGGAAUAUUGCACAAUGGGCGGAAGCCUGAUGCAGCAACGCCGCGUUCGGGAUGACGGCCUUCGGGUUGAAAACCGCUUUCGCCUGUGACGAAGCGGGAGUGACGGUAAUGGGUAAAGAAGCACCGGCUAACUACGUG
rnacentral:rRNA from 1 species